AAUCCAUAGGUUAAUGAGGCGAACCGGGGGAACUGAAACAUCUAAGUACCCCGAGGAAAAGAAAUCAACCGAGAUUCCCCCAGUAGCGGCGAGCGAACGGGGAGGAGCCCAGAGCCUGAAUCAGCAUGUGUGUUAGUGGAAGCGUCUGGAAAGGCGCGCGAUACAGGGUGACAGCCCCGUACACAAAAGCGCAUGUGCUGUGAGCUCGAUGAGUAGGGCGGGACACGUGGUAUCCUGUCUGAAUAUGGGGGGACCAUCCUCCAAGGCUAAAUACUCCUGACUGACCGAUAGUGAACCAGUACCGUGAGGGAAAGGCGAAAAGAACCCCGGCGAGGGGAGUGAAAAAGAACCUGAAACCGUGUACGUACAAGCAGUGGGAGCACCCUUUGGGUGUGACUGCGUACCUUUUGUAUAAUGGGUCAGCGACUUAUAUUCUGUAGCAAGGUUAACCGAAUAGGGGAGCCGGAGGGAAACCGAGUCUUAACCGGGCGUUAAGUUGCAGGGUAUAGACCCGAAACCCGGUGAUCUAGCCAUGGGCAGGUUGAAGGUUGGGUAACACUAACUGGAGGACCGAACCGACUAAUGUUGAAAAAUUAGCGGAUGACCUGUGGCUGGGGGUGAAAGGCCAAUCAAACCGGGAGAUAGCUGGUUCUCCCCGAAAGCUAUUUAGGUAGCGCCUCGUGAAUUCAUCUCCGGGGGUAGAGCACUGUUUCGGCUAGGGGGCCAUCCCGGCUUACCAACCCGAUGCAAACUGCGAAUACCGGAGAAUGUUAUCACGGGAGACACACGGCGGGUGCUAACGUCCGUCGUGAAGAGGGAAACAACCCAGACCGCCAGCUAAGGUCCCAAAGUCAUGGUUAAGUGGGAAACGAUGUGGGAAGGCCCAGACAGCCAGGAUGUUGGCUUAGAAGCAGCCAUCAUUUAAAGAAAGCGUAAUAGCUCACUGGUCGAGUCGGCCUGCGCGGAAGAUGUAACGGGGCUAAACCAUGCACCGAAGCUGCGGCAGCGACACUGU
rnacentral:rRNA from 2 species